GGACCUGACUGCUAUCGGAUUGAUACUAAGCCAUGCGAGUCAUUGUAGCAAUACAAGGCAGACGGCUCAGUAACGCGUAGUCAACCUACCCUAUGGACGGGAAUAACCUCGGGAAACUGAGUAUAAUGCCCGAUAGAACACUAUACCUGGAAUGGUUUGUGUUCCAAAUGAUUUAUCGCCGUAGGAUGGGACUGCGGCCUAUCAGUUUGUUGGUGAGGUAAUGGCCCACCAAGACUAUUACAGGUACGGGCUCUGAGAGGAGUGGCCCGGAGAUGGGUACUGAGACACGGACCCAGGCCCUAUGGGGCGCAGCAGGCGAGAAAACUUUGCAAUGUGCGAAAGCACGACAAGGUUAAUCCGAGUGGUUUGUGCUAAACGAACCUUUUGUCAGUCCUAGAAACACUAACGAAUAAGGGGUGGGCAAGUUCUGGUGUCAGCCGCCGCGGUAAAACCAGCACCUCAAGUGGUCAGGAUGAUUAUUGGGCCUAAAGCAUCCGUAGCCGGCUCUGUAAGUUUUCGGUUAAAUCCAUACGCUCAACGUACAGGCUGCCGGAAAUACUGCAGAGCUAGGGAGUGGGAGAGGUAGACGGUACUCGGUAGGAAGGGGUAAAAUCCUUUGAUCUAUUGAUGACCACCUGUGGCGAAGGCGGUCUACCAGAACACGUCCGACGGUGAGGGAUGAAAGCUGGGGGAGCAAACCGGAUUAGAUACCCGGGUAGUCCCAGCUGUAAACUAUGCAAACUCAGUGAUGCAUUGGCUUGUGGCCAAUGCAGUGCUGCAGGGAAGCCGUUAAGUUUGCCGCCUGGGAAGUACGUACGCAAGUAUGAAACUUAA
rnacentral:rRNA from 1 species